AUUAUUUAUAAUUGAAUUUCAAUUAUCUUUUAUCUUUAAAUUUCUUUUUUAAAACUACCAGUUGGUAGACACUGCUAGCGAAGUUCUGCCUAUAUGUUGUUACAAGGUGAAGGUCAGUUGGUGCGAGUGUGUAUUGAAUUUGAGAGCAGAACGGAAAGCAUAAGCCGUAGCCCUAUAUCACUGUCAUGAUCGUGUGCAGGAUUGGACAAAACAAGAUGGCAGACGGCAUUUCCAAACAAAGGUAUCAAGCCCUAGAACUUCAUUCCAUGAGAUGGGUACACUUCGAAUGUGCAAAUUUGUGGUGAGGAAUUCAAGACCAAUUCUGAAUUGCGUAGGCAUGUAUAAAGGAAACAUCAGUCAGAAAAAUUGUCUUCGUUUGUGACCAGUGCAACACACGCUUCUGCCCAUUAUAAAAGAAACUCGAAGUAAAAAAUACAUUGUUUUCUGAAUACACGAGGUGCAUACAUACAUGUAUACCAUGGCAGCCGUUUUAUAUAUUCGUUUAUGUACAUUGUGAAACGAUUAUUUUUACGGUAUUAUGCUUUGUUUUACAGAGAUACUACUAAUCUUUUACAUUGCAUUUUACACAUCUUGAUUUGUCAUUUCAUUGAACCUAAGUUUUACGUGUUAUUAAAUAUAUUUCAAUGUUA